GACGAACGCUGGCGGCGUGCCUAAUACAUGCAAGUUGAGCGAUGAAGAUUGGUGCUUGCACCAAUUUGAAGAGCAGCGAACGGGUGAGUAACGCGUGGGGAAUCUGCCUUUGAGCGGGGGACAACAUUUGGAAACGAAUGCUAAUACCGCAUAACAACUUUAAACAUAAGUUUUAAGUUUGAAAGAUGCAAUUGCAUCACUCAAAGAUGAUCCCGCGUUGUAUUAGCUAGUUGGUGAGGUAAAGGCUCACCAAGGCGAUGAUACAUAGCCGACCUGAGAGGGUAAUCGGCCCCCUUGGGACUGAGACACGGCCCAAACUCCUACGGGAGGCAGCAGUAGGGAAUCUUCGGGAAUGGACGGAAGUCUGACCGGGCAACGCCGCGGGAGUGAAGAAGGUUUUCGGGUCGUAAAACUCUGUUGGUAGGGAAGAACGUUGGUGAGAGUGGAAAGCUCAUCAAGUGACGGUAACUACCCAGAAAGGGACGGCUAACUACGUG
rnacentral:rRNA from 1 species